rnacentral:rRNA from 1 species
GAUGAACGCUGGCGGCGUGCCUAAUACAUGCAAGUCGAACGCUGGAGAUCUAGCUUGCUAGAUCGAAGGAGUGGCGAACGGGUGAGUAAUACAUAAGCAACCUACCCACGAAGACUGGGAUAAUCUCUGGAAACGGGGACUAAUACCGGAUAGGUAAUCGGAAGGCAUCUUCUGGUUAUUAAAGGUUAAAAACGCUGGUGGAUGGGCUUAUGGCGCAUUAGUUAGUUGGUGAGGUAACGGCCCACCAAGACGAUGAUGCGUAGCCGGCCUGAGAGGGUGAACGGCCACAUUGGGACUGAGACACGGCCCAGACUCCUACGGGAGGCAGCAGUAGGGAAUUUUCGGCAAUGGGGGCAACCCUGACCGAGCAACGCCGCGUGAGUGAAGACGGCCUUCGGGUUGUAAAGCUCUGUUGUAAGGGAAGAACGGUAGAUAGAGAAUAUCUAAGUGACGGUACCUUACCAGAAAGCCACGGCUAACUACGUG